GCUUGUCUCAAAGAUUAAGCCAUGCAUGUCUAAGUAUAAGCAUUAUACAGUGAAACUGCGAAUGGCUCAUUAUAUCAGUUAUAGUUUAUUUGAUAGUCCCUACUACAUGGAUAACCGUAGUAAUUCUAGAGCUAAUACAUGCGCUAACUCCUGACUGCUUUGCGGAAAGGACGUAUUUAUUAGAUACAACCAGCCCUUCGGGUCUUCGGUGAAUCAUAAUAACUGAGCGAACCGCAUGCUAACGCGGCGGUGGUUCAUUCAAGUUUCUGCCCUAUCAGCUUUCGAUGGUAGGGUAUUGGCCUACCAUGGCGUUAACGGGUAACGGAGAAUUAGGGUUCGGUUCCGGAGAGGGAGCCUGAGAGAUGGCUACCACAUCCAAGGAAGGCAGCAGG
rnacentral:rRNA from 1 species